rnacentral:misc_RNA from 1 species
GUGGAAUGCCACCCUGUUUGGCAACAGGCGAAGCUUCAUUCUGUCUGUGAAUCAAAGGGUGUCCAUUUCUCGGCAUAUUCCCCUCUAGGUUCGCCUGGUACAUCAUGGAUCAACGACAAUGUUCUUGCAAACCCGAUAAUGAAUUUGGUCGCAGAGAAACUGGGAAAGACUCCUGCUCAAGUUGCUCUUCGCGCGGGGCUUCAGAUGGGCCACAGCGU